CUGCGGGGGCUGGGGGCACGGGGGGAGCUGGGGGUGCUGCCGCCACUGCCUCCCCGCAGGGCUCCCGGCCUCCCGCCCCGGGCACGGAGCCCCCGGCCCCUGCUGGGCGAUGGGGUUCGGGAGGCAGCCGGGGAUGUGCUGCUGGCCGGGCCCUUCGGCCCCCCCGGCCCCUCCCGGGCAGCUGUGCCUCCUCCCGAGGGCAACGUGAGGCUCGCCUGCACCCGGCCGUGCCCGGUGCUGAGUACACCACAACUUGGUGGCUUUGGAUCCUGGCCGGGCCACAGGGUGCGUGUUCCACACCUAGGGCACGGCAGGGACUGACCUGUGAGCCCUGGCAUACAUCCGCUGAGGGCUGUGAAGCCUUGUGCCUGCAGAGCUGCUCACUGCCCCUCUGCUCUACCUGUGUGUAUGGUCUGGACCCAACAAAGCCCAUCAGUGCCUGCUUGGCUGGAGGUGCGUGUGUCAUCCCAUUGAAACCAGAGGAGUGACAGCAGACUAUUAGCUGGGGUUCUGCAUUUCCUCGUCCAAAUGCUGUACAAGCCUUAAAUAAGAAGCCUGACAGUGUCCGAUUUCACUCCUUGGCAUGGUGCUUAAUGUAUGUGAGAAUUUACUUUCUGAAAACAUUUUGUGCCUUUUGGACUUGAAAUCUACUGUAAAGACACAUCGUCUUUUGCAUGAUGUAUUGUGCCCAAAAUAGCUCAGCGGUUACUACUUC